rnacentral:rRNA from 1 species
UGGGGAAUCUUGCGCAAUGCGCGAAAGCGUGACGCAGCAACACCGCGUGGGGGAAGACGGCCUUCGGGUUGUAAACCCCUUUCAGUUGGGACGAAGCUCGGUCGGUGAAUAGCCGGCUGGAGUGACGGUACCUUCAAAAGAAGCCCCGGCUAACUACGUGCCAGCAGCCGCGGUAAUACGUAGGGGGCAAGCGUUGUCCGGAAUUAUUGGGCGUAAAGAGCGUGUAGGCGGCUCGAUCAGUCCGCUGUGAAAGUCCAAGGCUCAACCUUGGAAUGCCGGUGGAUACUGCCGAGCUGGAGUCCGGAAGAGGCGAGUGGAACUCCUGGUGUAGCGGUGAAAUGCGCAGAUAUCAGGAAGAACACCAACGGCGAAGGCAGCUCGCUGGGACGGAACUGACGCUGAGACGCGAAAGCGAGGGGAGCAAACAGG